CCUACGGGAGGCAGCAGUGAGGAAUAUUGGUCAAUGGACGAGAGUCUGAACCAGCCAAGUCGCGUGAAGGAUGACUGCCCUAUGGGUUGUAAACUUCUUUUAUAUGGGAAUAAAAUGUUCCACGUGUGGGUUUUUGUAUGUACCAUAUGAAUAAGGAUCGGCUAACUCCGUGCCAGCAGCCGCGGUAAUACGGAGGAUCCGAGCGUUAUCCGGAUUUAUUGGGUUUAAAGGGAGCGUAGGUGGAUUGUUAAGUCAGUUGUGAAAGUUUGCGGCUCAACCGUAAAAUUGCAGUUGAAACUGGCAGUCUUGAGUACAGUAGAGGUGGGCGGAAUGCGUGGUGUAGCGGUGAAAUGCUUAGAGAUCACGAAGAACUCCGAUUGCGAAGGCAGCUCACUGGACUGCAACUGACACUGAGGCUCGAAAGUGUGGGUAUCAAACAGGAUUAGAUACCCGAGUAGUC
rnacentral:rRNA from 1 species